rnacentral:rRNA from 1 species
GAAUUGAAGAGUUUGAUCAUGGCUCAGAUUGAACGCUGGCGGCAGGCUUAACACAUGCAAGUCGAACGGUAGCACAUAGGAGUUUGCUCCUUGGGUGACGAGUGGCGGACGGGUGAGUAAUGCUUGGGAAUCUGGCUUAUGGAGGGGGAUAACUACUGGAAACGGUAGCUAAUACCGCGUAAUGUCUUAGGACUAAAGGGUGGGACCAUUUGGCCACCUGCCAUAAGAUGAGCCCAAGUGGGAUUAGGUAGUUGGUGAGGUAAAGGCUCACCAAGCCCGCGAUCUCUAGCUGGUCUGAGAGGAUGACCAGCCACACUGGAACUGAGACACGGUCCAGACUCCUACGGGAGGCAGCAGUGGGGAAUAUUGCACAAUGGGGGGAACCCUGAUGCAGCCAUGCCGCGUGAAUGAAGAAGGCCUUCGGGUUGUAAAGUUCUUUCGGUGACGAGGAAGGCGAUUGUUUUAAUAGAACAGUCGAUUGACGUUAAUCACAGAAGAAGCACCGGCUAACUCCGUGCCAGCAGCCGCGGUAAUACGGGGGGUGCGAGCGUUAAUCGGAAUAACUGGGCGUAAAGGGCACGCAGGCGGUUGUUUAAGUGAGGUGUGAAAGCCCCGGGCUUAACCUGGGAAUUGCAUUUCAGACUGGACAACUAGAGUACUUUAGGGAGGGGUAGAAUUCCACGUGUAGCGGUGAAAUGCGUAGAGAUGUGGAGGAAUACCGAAGGCGAAGGCAGCCCCUUGGGAAUGUACUGACGCUCAUGUGCGAAAGCGUGGGGAGCAAACAGGAUUAGAUACCCUGGUAGUCCACGCCGUAAACGCUGUCGAUUUGGGGAUUGGGGUUUAACUCUGGUGCCCGUAGCUAACGUGAUAAAUCGACCGCCUGGGGAGUACGGCCGCAAGGUUAAAACUCAAAUGAAUUGACGGGGGCCCGCACAAGCGGUGGAGCAUGUGGUUUAAUUCGAUGCAACGCGAAGAACCUUACCUACUCUUGACAUCCAUG